UUCAACUUUACAACGGCGGAUUGGAAUGAUGGAACCAAGUUUCCCGAAACAAUCCCAUCAAGACUCCUGCGUGCGUCAUGAAUGACAGUUCAUGGGGUUCGAAGCACAGGUAGAGUCGGCAGAAGGAAGACUAGAGCCAUUCCAAUGGAAAAGGUAUGUUAACUGAUAUGCCGGAUGGCUAAAAA
rfam:Bacillus pseudofirmus OF4 plasmid pBpOF4-01, complete sequence.